CCUCAUUCCACAGUGUGUGCUCCACGGAGAUGCCACCGUCCCCAGACAGUGGCUCCUUUGUGUGCUGUUCAGUGGUGUGGGAGGAACAGCCUGAGAGGGCCCUUGCUUAGAAGAAAGCCAAAGCCACACACUGCCUUCCUGGGACGGUGUUUGCGCCUGCAUUCCAGUCAGCUCACCAGGUUUAGGUCAUCGCCUCUGUUUAUAACACACAGCAAAUGGCAGGUUGUUGCAGAAUAUUACUUUAACUGUGUAGAGAUGUGUUCCAUUUCUUUAUGCUGCAGAAUAUUACUUUAACUAUGCAAAGCCAGGGAGACGCCAGGGGCCAGCCAGACAUGGAGGAAGCAGGAAAGUAGGACACACGGAAUGAAAGAAAGCUGGUUGGUGGUCGUAAGAAAAUUCCAACUACAGAAUGGGGUGUCAGAUCCCUGAGGCUGGAGUUACAGUGGUCGUGAGUCAGCACGUGGUUCUGGGAACCAGAAGGGUCCUCUUAGCACCGAACUGUCUCUCCAGACACGGUCAUGGCAUCGCUGUCCAACUUGGCAACUGGUGGCCCCUCGCCUCAGGACACCCUUCUGGUUGUUGAGACACCUGGCUCCUCCGUCCUCUGUUCUGUUCCAGAAACGCUGUGACAGCAGCUUGGUCUGGCAAGGAGGCCCGAUGUCUGACCCAAUGACUGACGGCAUUAGAUCUGUAUUGACGCUAUGGGCAUCUGUCGGUUGCUUCCUCUUUCGACAAGUUUUUCAGUUAGUCUCUUCCACAAGGGAUAAAGCAGCAGCCUACACUCCUGUUACAGUCUGGAGAGAUCGCUCAGUGGUUAGAGGUCCCAGGUUCAAUUCCCCAGCACAUGGUGACUCACAACUGUCUGUAACUCCAGUCCCAGGGAAUCCAAUGUUCUCUUUGCUCUCUGUGGGCAAACACACAUACAAAAUAAAUAAAUAGCUCAAAAAAAAAAUCUAACCCAGUACUAAUUCCAAGUGAAGUCGGGACUGAAACCUUCACCUCUUCCGUUCUGCAAACACCCUCGAGUGGACAGUCACUUCCUGCGUCGGAUGCUCCCUCGCUGGCCAAGGGCCCUGGGAAUGUUCCCCUCCAGAGCUGAAUAAUGGGACUAAAAUGUAACACCUCCUACCACUCAAAACACAAGCCCUCUAACAGGCCCCAGUUAGCACAUCCGACUCCAUGGUGAACGUACCGUUCAGGUCCUAAACUCAGCAGGUAGACAGCACCCCCUGUCAAAAUGAAAACACAGGCCUCAUCCACCAAAGGCCACAGUUCUGGGACAGUCUCUGAAUGUACUGACCUCGCUUUUUGGCUUCUGUGGUUCUGCUUCUGGCUAACUGUUCUUGCUAACGGAGGCAUGUCACCCCAGGACAUGGCUAAGGAAGGCUCAGGGCUACAGUGGGAUCCUGAGCACCCAGUCACCAGCUGACUAAUAAAGACUUGCUGUGGUCUUGAA